GUGCUCGCUUCAGCAGCACAUAUACUAAAAUUGGAACGAUACAGAGAAGAUUGGCCCCCGUGGAAGGAUGACACUCAAAUUCACGCGUUAAAACAAAAAAAA
rnacentral:snRNA from 1 species